rnacentral:rRNA from 1 species
GACGGAGGGCGCGGGCGUUAUUCGUUUUGAUUGGGUGUAAAGGGUACGUAGGUUGCUUAUAGUGUUUUGGCAAAAAGAGCAGAGUUGUUCCUAUGCGAUUGCCUUUUAUAACGUGAGCUUGUGUUGAGGAUAGGUCGGGGCAAGUUCUCAAGUAGGGGUAAAAUCCAACCAUAUGAGAACGAACGUCAGCUGGCGAAGGCGCCUUUCCAGCCUCAACAGACGCUAAGGUACGGAAGCUUGGGGCGCAAACGGG